rnacentral:rRNA from 1 species
GAUGAACGCUGGCGGCGUGCUUAACACAUGCAAGUCGAGCGAAGCAUAAGAGAGGAAGUUUUAAAUGGAAUCUAUUAUGACUGAGCGGCGGACGGGUGAGUAACGCGUGGGGAACCUGCCCUAUACAGGGGGAUAACAGUUAGAAAUGACUGCUAAUACCGCAUAAGCGCACGGGGCCGCAUGGCCCUGAGUGAAAAACGAUAGUGGUAUAGGAGGGACCCGCGUCUGAUUAGGUAGUUGGUGAGGUAACGGCCCACCAAGCCGACGAUCAGUAGCCGACCUGAGAGGGUGACCGGCCACAUUGGGACUGAGACACGGCCCAA